GAGGAAUAUUGGUCAAUGGACGGAAGUCUGAACCAGCCAAGUAGCGUGCAGGAUGACGGCCCUAUGGGUUGUAAACUGCUUUUGUAUGGGGAUAAAGUCAAUCACGUGUGAUUGCUUGCAGGUACCAUACGAAUAAGGACCGGCUAAUUCCGUGCCAGCAGCCGCGGUAAUACGGAAGGUCCGGGCGUUAUCCGGAUUUAUUGGGUUUAAAGGGAGCGUAGGCCGGAGAUUAAGUGUGUUGUGAAAUGUAGACGCUCAACGUCUGACUUGCAGCGCAUACUGGUUUUCUUGAGUACGCACAACGUUGGCGGAAUUCGUCGUGUAGCGGUGAAAUGCUUAGAUAUGACGAAGAACUCCGAUUGCGAAGGCAGCUGACGGGAGCGCAACUGACGCUUAAGCUCGAAGGUGCGGGUAUCGAACAGGAUUAGAUACCCUGGUAGUCCGCACAGUAAACGAUGGAUGCCCGCUGUUGGUACCUGGUAUCAGCGGCUAAGCGAAAGCAUUAAGCAUCCCACCUGGGGAGUACGCCGGCAACGGUG
rnacentral:rRNA from 1 species